rnacentral:rRNA from 1 species
CCUACGGGGGGCUGCAGUGGGGAAUAUUGCGCAAUGGGCGAAAGCCUGACGCAGCGACGCCGCGUGGGUGAUGAAGGCCUUCGGGUUGUAAAGCCCUGUCGGGUGGAACGAACGAUCUGGCGGCGAAUAACCGCCGGGUGUGACGGUACCACCGAAGGAAGCCCCGGCUAACUACGUGCCAGCAGCCGCGGUAAGACGUAGGGGGCGAGCGUUGUUCGGAUUUACUGGGCGUAAAGGGCGCGUCGGCGGCGAAAGCCCACGGCUUAACCGAGGAACGGCAUCCGAUACUGCCUGGCUCGAGUCUAGGAGAGGAAAGCGGAAUUCCCAGUGUAGCGGUGAAAUGCGUAGAUAUUGAGAGGAACACCGGUGGCGAAGGCGGCUUUCCGGACUAGUACUGACGCUGAGGCGCGAAAGCUAGGGGAGCGAACGGGAUUAGAUACCCUUGUAGUC